rfam:Ascaris suum AG04344, whole genome shotgun sequence.
GACCAAGUAGUAUAGUGGUUAAGUACUCCACGUUGUGGCCGCGGCGACACAGCUUCGAUUCCUGUCUUGGGCA